rnacentral:rRNA from 1 species
GAUGAACGCUGGCGGCGUGCCUAAUACAUGCAAGUCGAGCGAACGGACGAGAAGCUUGCUUCUCUGAUGUUAGCGGCGGACGGGUGAGUAACACGUGGAUAACCUACCUAUAAGACUGGGAUAAAUUCGGGAAACCGGAGCUAAUACCGGAUAAUAUUUUGAACCGCAUGGUUCAAAAGUAAAAGACGGGCUUGCUGUCACUUAUAGCUGGAUCCGCGCUGCAUUAGCUAGUUGGUAAGGUAACGGCUUACCAAGGCAACGAUGCAUAGCCGACCUGAGAGGGUGAUCGGCCACACUGGAACUGAGACACGGUCCAGACUCCUACGGGAGGCAGCAGUAGGGAAUCUUCCGCAAUGGGCGAAAGCCUGACGGAGCAACGCCGCGUGAGUGAUGAAGGUCUUCGGAUCGUAAAACUCUGUUAUUAGGGAAGAACAUAUGUGUAAGUAACUGUGCACAUCUUGACGGUACCUAAUCAGAAAGCCACGGCUAACUACGUG